rfam:Arabis alpina cultivar Pajares chromosome 4, whole genome shotgun sequence.
UUUGUAUCGGUGAUUUCUUAUUAAAUCUGCGUUAUCUAUCUGUAAAUCUCUUACAAGAGUUUUGAAGAUAAAAGUAUACAGAAACCUGAGAUCCUAU